rnacentral:rRNA from 1 species
GAUGAACGCUGGCGGCGUGCCUAAUACAUGCAAGUCGAGCGAACGGACGAGAAGCUUGCUUUUCUGAUGUUAGCGGCGGACGGGUGAGUAACACGUGGAUAACCUACCUAUAAGACUGGGAUAACUUCGGGAAACCGGAGCUAAUACCGGAUAAUAUUUUGAACCGCAUGGUUCAAAAGUGAAAGACGGUCUUGCUGUCACUUAUAGAUGGAUCCGCGCUGCAUUAGCUAGUUGGUAAGGUAACGGCUUACCAAGGCAACGAUGCAUAGCCGACCUGAGAGGGUGAUCAGCCACACUGGAACUGAGACACGGUCCAGACUCCUACGGGAGGCAGCAGUAGGGAAUCUUCCACAAUGGGCGAAAGCCUGACGGAGCAACGCCGCGUGAGUGAUGAAGGUCUUCGGAUCGUAAAGCUCUGUUAUUAGGGAAGAACAUAUGUGUAAGUAACUGUGCACAUCUUGACGGUACCUAAACAGAAAGCAACGGCUAACUACGUG